rnacentral:piRNA from 1 species
UAGGUACUGCUUUUCCUGUUGAGGAUCUCU